GACAGAGGGUGCAAACGUUGUUCGGAAUUACUGGGCGUAAAGCGCGUGUAGGCGGCCAAGCAAGUCGGGUGUGAAAGCCCCGGGCUCAACCUGGGAAUUGCAUUCGAGACUGCGUAGCUAGGGUGCGGAAGAGGGAAGCGGAAUUUCCGGUGUGAGCGGUGAAAUGCGUAGAUAUCGGAAGGAACACCAGUGGCGAAAGCGGCUCCUGGUCCAGCACCGACGUUCAGGCACGAAAGCGUGGGGAGCAAACAGGG
rnacentral:rRNA from 1 species